rnacentral:tRNA from 1 species
GCCCCUGUGGUGAAACGGAUAUCAUUCGACGCUUCGGACGUCGCAUUCCGGGUUCGAAUCCUGGCAGGGGCA